AAUCAACGCUGGCGGCGUGCCUCAGACAUGCAAGUCGAACGCGAAAGUUUCCUUCGGGGAGCGAGUAGAGUGGCGCACGGGUGAGUAACACGUAGGUAAUCUACCUUCGGAUGGGGAAUAACAAUCGGAAACGGUUGCUAAUACCGCAUAAUGCAGCGGCACCUAAUGGUGACAGUUGUUAAAGCGGGGGAGUCGUAAGACCUCGCGUCUGAAGAGGAGCCUGCGGCGGAUUAGCUUGUUGGUAAGGUAAUGGCUUACCAAGGCGACGAUCCGUAACCGGCCUGAGAGGGCGGUCGGUCACACUGACACUGACAUACGGGUCAGACUCCUACGGGAGGCAGCAGUCGGGAAUUUUGGGC
rnacentral:rRNA from 1 species